rnacentral:rRNA from 1 species
AGCGAACGCUGGCGGCGGGCUUAACACAUGCAAGUCGAACGCCCCGCAAGGGGAGUGGCAGACGGGUGAGUAACACGUGGGAACGUACCCUUUGGUUCGGAAUAACUUGGGGAAACUCAAGCUAAUACCGGAUAAGCCCUUAUGGGGAAAGGUUUACUGCCGAGGGAUCGGCCCGCGUCUGAUUAGCUAGUUGGUGAGGUAAUGGCUCACCAAGGCGACGAUCAGUAGCUGGUCUGAGAGGAUGAUCAGCCACACUGGGACUGAGACACGGCCCAGACUCCUACGGGAGGCAGCAGUGGGGAAUUUUUCGCAAUGGGGGCAACCCUGACGAAGCAACGCCGCGUGGGUGAUGAAGUCUCUUGGGACGUAAAACCCUUUCGACGGGGAAGAAACCGCAAGGUUGACGGUACCCGUAGAAGAAGCCCCGGCUAACUCCGUGCCAGCCGCCGCCGUAA